rnacentral:lncRNA from 1 species
UUUUAUUUUAUUUUUUCUUUUUAAAGGAUUGCCUCAUGAGGUUCCCGCUGGCUGGUUGCAAUACCACUGAGAAUGGAAGGUCCAAAGCUGCAGCAGGAGGAAGGAACUUGGAAAAUGCAACUGGUGCGGAAGAGCGAGCAAGGUCACUGGUGACAAGGCUCUGCUCCAUCUGUGCAGCUUCUUCUGCACCAUCCCAUCUCUUUGCUGUUUCUGAGGUCAAAUCCAUAGGAGAUGUUCUGCGGAGUGAGCAGAGAGUGAGGAAGAUGCACAACAAAGAAGAGGCUCUCCAUUUCAAAUUCUUCUAUCACCAAAUCUCAGCAGUCCUCAAGCUGAUUAUCACAGCAUUGAAAAUCAAGCUGUUCUUGGAGUAUGGUGUGGUCUUGGCUUCAUCAAAUGACCAGUUCUUGAUAACUGAGGCAAGGCAGCACUUUGUUCAGAACAGCUAGACUCACAUUAAUCUGGUUUCUUCUUCAGUAGGUAUGUUUUUGGUGGUUGGGGGAUUUAGGCAUGAGUUCCUUUGAAAUAUCGGAGUAUUUCUGAUGAAGAAGUCCCAAAGGCACUUAACCCCAAGAACCUCAAAGACAAAAUCUUUCUACAGCAUGCCCUUCACUCAGCUAGCUAUGAGAAGAUCAAUGCUGGGAUUGAUACACGUGAGUAUCUACGCUGCAGUAUGCUACUAUUCCUCUAAAAUUUUAUUGGCGUUUAAUAUGGUGAAAGUACGUGGCUGUAUGGGGCACUACUUUACAGCAGGAUGGUAGGAGAGAAUUUGGAGAACCAUUUGGCAAAUCAGACCCGACCACAUGGCAUUCAUUUGGUUAAUCACCAGCUAUUAAAAUAGCAUCAAAUCAUAGCAACCUAUUUGUUUAUCAUUCAGUGCACAAUUUUCUGCACAGUAUAUUCAUAACUGCUGUACCCAAGCUAAUUUUAAACGAGCCAACAAAGCCAUUUUCCAGCACUCUCCUGAGAAAUGGAUCUGUAGACUGAUCAAUCUCACUGCUUUUGGGGCUAAGCCCCCACAAAAUCAGAGCUGAUGACAUCGGCAUUUAAUUUUGAAAUAAGCUGAUGUUUAUUUAUUCACAUUUUAAAACUCUGUCAUUUAAAUCUUUUGCAUUACUCCAAGAUUUGUUUGACUUACAGUGUCUCCAAGCAGAUUAUAUCACCCAUGUUCUCCCUAAGCAUGAAUGUUCAAGCACCAUUGCAGACGCCUUUGUGAUUUCAAUUAGAGACAACAUUCAGCAGUUCCUUGAUGGUCCCUCUCUUUUUCACCAGGAAUUCAUCAAGUGAUGAAAUUCUGUUAAACUCAGGAGCAGAACAGUAACUUUGAUCCUGGUUUUCAAAGUGCUGAUGUUUUAUUUCUGAGGGCUGACACCUCACUGCUGGAAUAGGAUCCCUCUGUAAUUAAGGGAAGCAGAACACUAGAGCUGUGGUUUGUGCAAAUAUUAAAUUAAUUUUAUCACUGAGGCAAAAAUUGGAUGAAGAUGUAGUGGUAGCAAAAGCAUGGCAGAGUUCUUCUGUUGUUUGUAUCACAAUAGAGCUUAGGAGCCUUAGUGAUGAACCUCUGGUGUAUGAAUGAUGCAAAAAACCUGAGAAAUGAGUAGCACCUUCCCCAAAUACCUUUUCAUAUAAGUAAAUAAACAUAGUUCAAAAUGUCCCCUCUGCUACUGUGGGUGUCCCGAUCAAGUUUCCUCACCUUUAGCAUACCUGCAGAGAAAUGAGGACAAAUUUUGGCUUUGCUGGCAGACCCGCUGUGCAGAUUCUCACAAUAUUCAUGCUCUUAGUGCCAGUGAAAUAGGUGUGUGCUUAUUUUUAGGGUGCAAUGGGAUAUGAUGAGACCUCAGAGCCGCCUGAAGGCUAGCUGAAUCGUUGGCUUGGCAUUUCGUUCUGCACGUCAGUUGAUUGGUCAUUUUAUCACCAGUUAUGAAGUGAAAUUAGAUAAUCCUGAUGCCAUAUGGUAUACAGUAUUUAUAGUUUAGUAUGUUUUCCAUACAUGUGCGCUAAAGCCUGCUUCAGGGAUUUGUUACGGUCCUUGUGUUUACAGGAUUUGGGUCUUGGGUGAAAGAAGAAAUUGACAGUUACUAAUGUUUGAUUUAAACUAACACAUCGGAGGCCACAUGGGCGAUCCCUAAUUAGAGUCAAUUCACACUUUCCAUCCUUCGCCAGGGAGGCUGUCAAGACUCUAUGGGACCAGAUCCCAUGUCCACUCAGCUCUGCUACCUCCAGCAGCCAUUGAGACUGAGAAUCUGCGGUGGUUUAUCUCCACCCCAGCUCCUCUCCUGAGCAGCCAUGGAUGUGUGAUGUCUCCUCCAGGUCUCUGACACAGGUAGGUUUCAACCUGAAGGAUCACUAUGAGGAUUAUCGUCAGCAUUAGGCUUAAGUUCAGAAAUUCUUGCUUUGCAUCAAAAUGCUCCAUUCCCGCUGAAAUCUUGAUAAAUAAGUAGCUACAGGAUUAAUUAUGUGGGACAUUAGUCACUCAGUGUGUGUCAUUAUUUUCUCAAAACAAGACUAAAUGAAUGCCACAGCAGGGUCUGAUAGAGAUCUGCAUUUGGAGCUGACUCAAAUGCAAUAACAUAGGAGUGUAUUCUCAACUCCAAGCACUAUUUUCCUGAUACAGGUACCUGGGCUGGGGACCCUAGCCAGUAACAUGGUGCAAAUACCCUCACCACAGAUAAUUUCUUGACUGUUUCUCACCAAAAGAAAUCCCCAAGUGUACCUUCUGAUCCAAGCUAUAAGCACCAGCAAAGCUAUGGCAGGCUUUAGAGCACAUGUUGGUCUGUUUCACACUCAAGUCCCAGUCCUCACCUGUGUCUCUGCUGUCAUGUCUUGCUUACUCAAAGCUGGAGUAAUAGCAGGCAGAACAGGAGCAGGCUGAGGAUGGGCCAUUCCUUUUUUUUUUUUUUUUUAAGUAGUAAAUAGUGAUAAUAAACUACAAACCCUGAGGGAGGAAAAGUGAUGUUCAGUUGCCCCAUAAGAACCCCGUGAGCACUUGAACAAAAAGGGGUUAAUAAAAGUUACAGUCAGGUUAUUUUGGAUGGGAUUCUUGCGGAAUAUGAUUUCAUAAUCCGCUGUCUCUAGUGAACAACAAGACCUCUGUAAACACUCAAUAUUCAAAUAGAAAAUUGUUUCUUGUAGGCUUCCAUGGCACAAAAUAAAAGCGCUGUAAAUCUGGGCCUCCAUAUGUGGUUCUCAGCUGGUGUAAGUCCCUGAAUGAAUUACAUGUGAACAGAGAAAUUAAUGCUACACACAUGGUGGCCAAACUUAAAAGCAAAAAUUGCAACUGAGAAUAUGCUGCAGUAGAUUGUGAACUAUUUGAAGAUAAAUGGGAGCUUGAGUCCUUGUUGAUAUAAUGCAUCAUUGAUGCAUUUCAAGGGGUACACAACAAACACAGUGAGAUAUUACAACACUGAGAUCAACCUUAGGGGGAGUGCAAGGACCUAUGCUUUACAAUCAAAGACUGAACGUAAUGAGAAUACCAGAAGGUAAAUACACAGCGUUGACUCUUUCUCAAGAUCUUGAACAAAAAGCAAUUGGGUGAAAUACUUGCUCUUUUUAAAGAAUCCCCAGAUUUACUGUCACAGUAAAUGUGUAUCCUAUCUAGGUUUUGAAGUGAUUGCCUUCUAAAGCUGUUUUUGUUAAUCUGUAAAUACUGAUGACAAAUUACCCAAGAGUUUUUGUACUUUUGAAGCGGUUGUGAUCUUUUUGUUAUUGUUUUUUCCCCCUCUCCGGGCAGAGGAGGAGGAAAGAAUGUGCAUGUUCCAGUGAAUUCUAAAUGAGGGCUGUGCCUCCCGUUUGUAAAAACACAAGCACAGCAGUAAAAAUAAUAAAUAAAACAAAUGAGACUCUCUUUAAUCCAUUCAUGAGCUCAAGUGUUUCAAGUAGACCAUAAUAUUAAGACAAAGAGUUCUGAGAGAGAUGGAUCAGAGGGAAGGGCUGUUGCUUAAACAAUGUCAGCCUAUUUAAUUAAAUUACGUGUUUGUCAGCGCUGUAUUUUCCCAUGUCCAGGAUUCUUACUGUUGAUUCAGGGCUUAAGGCCUAAAUAGAAAGGGCAACAACUGCUGUGUAUUUGAUCCUGAACAAGCUGUGUCCUUUGAAAUGCCAGCACUCAGUGGCUGGGAGAAUGCUGGAGUGCUUUGCGGUGACGAAGGGCACUGGCAUAAGAGUUGCUGAAAAUAUGUGUCUGACAUUGCCACAGCAUCCUGAGGGUGCACAGGGACCUUCUCUGACAACUUCUAAGCCUGCUGUUAUUUCUGUAACAGUUUAUUUGUAUUUGUCACAAGGACAAAUGGGACUGGGGUAGAGGACCAAGAGCAGGGCCAGAAGCCAGGAACUCUCAACUCCCUCUUUCCUUUGUCUGAAAUGGUUUGGCAGGUUGUUUUCAUAUAUAAAAUCUAUAGCUUUGUCGUGGGCAAUUGCAAAUGCUUACUGCCUUAUGGUCAGAUUUUAAGCUGUUUUUGUAGCCAGUUUGUUGCACAAAAUAGAUGCUUGGGUUUCCCUUUUGUGGUUGGAUCUCUUCUGCUUCAGCAGGGCUGGAGGGAGCCACUGGGACUCACAGUACUACAGCUCAGGAUGAAGCAGCAGAUAAAGCUGCAAGCAUUAAGCCAGAGUAUCUGCUCUGUGUAUGUGGGGAGAGCACUCAAGCACCCAGCCACUGCUGCCAUAUAACAAGAUCUAAGAGAGAUAUGAGUAUUUUUUUCUCUUCUGUCCACCCAUACCACUUUUAUUUAAAUAAUUUUUCUGAGGACAGAAUGUGGUCUUCAGUUACGAAGAACGUGAUCUGUUCUUUGUCUCUUUGAAUCAUCUGGCAAGUCAAGCAUGACUCGUGCUGUAGCUGAAGAGUGUGCUGGCAGGGCACCCUGACUUCCAUUGCUCAGACUGGUGCCUUCUUGCAACUGCUCACAUCAGAAAACUCUGAUGAGUUGCUUUCUGAAAUUCCACCAGGUACUCUGAAAAUCUCAUUGGGUGAUAUUUGCCCAACUUGAUGUGUCUGGAUCCUCAAACACAUUUCAUUUGCAGAGGGUGCAUAUAACCUCUACCUCGUUUAUAGUUGUGUUGUACUUGAAAUGCCCAUGAAGUUCCUCUUCUAUAAGGCCCGAACAGCCCUUCCCCAGUUUGUAUGAGUGGUACAGAUUAACACUUCCUUCUGCUCACACUGAUGCUAGUGGCGUAAAAUGGGCUUAGUUCAGUGCUGUGGGAUUAUGCUCUCAAUGUCCUCAAUGCUGAGUGCAGAAUCUGACUAUUUUAGGAUAAAUUCCACAUAAAUUGUGCUUGAAAGAUCAUGAAAAAUACAAGCAUGGGCAUCAUAUUUCUUGAAAUAGACCACAUAUGAACUGGGACAAAUAAGGCAUGUUUUUAUGUGCCAGAACUGCUAAGUAUGGGGUGUAACAGAAGCAGUGUGCACUGGUUUGUUGGUUCACUGUUUGUUUGUUUGUUUGUUUGUUUUUUAGAAAGCUUUCAUUUUGGGAUUGGAUGUUCUACUCAAAGAAAUGUCUCAGUCAAAUACAGGUUAAUCAGAGAAAUGUUGUCCUUCACGUCUCUGCAGGGAUCUGAUUUCCAAGCUAACAGGUGACAGUGCUUCAAAGUCCUGCUAAGAAGUGCACCCACCUCGCUGCUGUUUGGAUCAGCCUCUGACAAUGAAUUUUUCCAUCCCUACAAGAACUGUCU